rnacentral:tRNA from 1 species
GUCCCUGUAGCUCAGCUGGAUAGAGUGCUGCAUUCCUACUGCGGAGGUCGUGGGUUCGACUCCCUCCAGGGACG